GAUGAGCGCUGGCGGCGUGCCUAAUACAUGCAAGUCGAGCGAACAGAUGAGGAGCUUGCUCCUCUGACGUUAGCGGCGGACGGGUGAGUAACACGUGGAUAACCUACCUAUAAGACUGGGAUAACUUCGGGAAACCGGAGCUAAUACCGGAUAAUAUAUUGAACCGCAUGGUUCAAUAGUGAAAGACGGUUUUGCUGUCACUUAUAGAUGGAUCCGCGCCGCAUUAGCUAGUUGGUAAGGUAACGGCUUACCAAGGCAACGAUGCGUAGCCGACCUGAGAGGGUGAUCGGCCACACUGGAACUGAGACACGGUCCAGACUCCUACGGGAGGCAGCAGUAGGGAAUCUUCCGCAAUGGGCGAAAGCCUGACGGAGCAACGCCGCGUGAGUGAUGAAGGUCUUCGGAUCGUAAAACUCUGUUAUUAGGGAAGAACAAAUGUGUAAGUAACUAUGCACGUCUUGACGGUACCUAAUCAGAAAGCCAUGGCUAACUACGUG
rnacentral:rRNA from 1 species